UCUUAUCUGAACUCUUCAAUUCCUUUAUUGUUUCUUAAUUGAGACUUUUGCUUAAAUCUAUGUUGUGAGGAUGAAACCAAAUCAAUUAGUUCCAUCGGUGAUUAAUGCAUAUAUGUAUUUAAACAGAAUUUAGAGGAUAGUAGGAUGUUUGAUAGAUUCAUAAAUGGAGUAUACACUGAGUUUUCGAUUGGUUUGUUAAACAUGCAGCUUGGCCAUCUCAUUUGCAGGCAAGCACACCUAAUGCUUGUGAUUUUUAUCUCAUACAUACAAGCCUUUCACAUUUUAUUGGAACUAAACCAAUGUAGUUUGUUGGAGGGUCCUUCAUGGAACUUGAUGGUUUAUAAUUUCUGACUUCAAAUUUGGCUCGUAGGCAAUUCAAGACUCGAGAACAUAAGAUACAGAUAAUAAGGCUUCAGAAUAUGAAUUGAUAUACUCGAUUUGCUUGGAGCAAGUUAACUAGGAGACCUUGUUUGAAGCUUGCUAUGUUUGCAUCAAUUUUCAGGGGCACAAGGAAUGGAUCAACGAAAUGAACUUGUUGCAUGUAGUCAAACACCCAAAUCUUGUCAAGUUAGUGGGAUACUGUGCAGAAGAUGAUGAAAGAGGGAUUCAGCAGCUUUUGGUGUAUGAGCUCAUGCGUAACAAAUUGGUGUAUGAGCUCAUGCGUAACAAAAGCUUCGAGGACCAUCUAUUGGCUCGAGUAGCUUCUCCUCUGCCAUGGAUGGAAAGAUUAAAAAUUGCUCAAGAUGCAGCUCGUCGUUUGGCUUAUCUGCAUGGAGAAAUGGACUUUGGAGACUAAAAAUUUGUAUGAUGAAUUAUUAUUAAAUUUGUAUGAUGGAUUUAUUUUGAUUUAUAAUAUAAAUUGGUUACUGAA